rnacentral:rRNA from 1 species
CUACGGGGUGCACCAGUGGGGAAUAUUGCACAAUGGGCGCAAGCCUGAUGCAGCAACGCCGCGUGAGGGACGAAGGCCUUCGGGUUGUAAACCUCUUUUAGCAGGGAAGAAGCGAAAGUGACGGUACCUGCAGAAAAAGCACCGGCUAACUACGUGCCAGCAGCCGCGGUAAUACGUAGGGUGCAAGCGUUGUCCGGAAGUAUUGGGUGUAAAGAGCUCGUAGGCGGUUUGUCACGUCUGCUGUGAAAUUUCGAGGCUCAACCUCGAACUUGCAGGGGGUACGGGCAGGCUAGAGUGCGGUAGGGGAGAUGGGAAUUCCUGGUGUAGCGGUGGAAUGCGCAGAUAUCAGGAGGAACACCAAUGGCGAAGGCACAUCUCUGGGCCGUAACUGACGCUGAGGAGCGAAAGCGUGGGGAGCGAACAGGAUUAGAUACCCGCGUAGUC